GGUAGACGCUACGGACUUAAAAUCCGUCGACUUUAAAAAUCGUGAGGGUUCAAGUCCCUCUAUCCCCA
rnacentral:tRNA from 2 species